UUAAAUUGAAGAGUUUGAUCAUGGCUCAGAUUGAACGCUGGCGGCAGGCCUAACACAUGCAAGUCGAACGGUAACAGGAAGCAGCUUGCUGCUUCGCUGACGAGUGGCGGACGGGUGAGUAAUGUCUGGGAAACUGCCUGAUGGAGGGGGAUAACUACUGGAAACGGUGGCUAAUACCGCAUAACGUCGCAAGACCAAAGAGGGGGACCUUCGGGCCUCUUGCCAUCAGAUGUGCCCAGAUGGGAUUAGCUUGUUGGUGAGGUAACGGCUCACCAAGGCGACGAUCCCUAGCUGGUCUGAGAGGAUGACCAGCCACACUGGAACUGAGACACGGUCCAGACUCCUACGGGAGGCAGCAGUGGGG
rnacentral:rRNA from 1 species